rnacentral:rRNA from 1 species
UUGGAGGGCAAGUCUGGUGCCAGCAGCCGCGGUAAUUCCAGCUCCAAUAGCGUAUAUUAAAGUUGUUGCAGUUAAAAAGCUCGUAGUUGAAUUUCGGGAUUGACACAUCGGUCGUGCCUUAAGGGGUAUGAACUGGUGUAGUCAAUUUCUCACCUUCUGGAGAACCGCGAUGCCCUUAAUUGGGUGUCGCGGGGAACCAGGACCUUUACUUUGAAAAAAUUAGAGUGUUUAAAGCAGGCAUUUUGCUUGAAUACAUUAGCAUGGAAUAAUAAAAUAGGACGGCAUGAUUCUAUUUUGUUGGUUUCUAGGAUCACCGUAAUGAUUAAUAGGGAUAGUUGGGGGCAUUAGUAUUCAAUUGUCAGAGGUGAAAUUCUUGGAUUUAUUGAAGACUAACUACUGCGAAAGCAUUUGCCAAGGAUGUUUUCAUUAAUCAAGAACGAAAGUUAGGGGAUCGAAGACGAUCAGAUACCGUCGUAGUCUUAACCAUAAACUAUGCCGACUAGGAAUCAGACGAUGUUAAUUUUUUAAUGACUCGUUCGGCGCCUUACGGGAAAC